UAAAUACCAUGAUUAUAACCCUUAAAAUCAGGGUUUAUUUUCUUAAAAUCAGGUCAGUCUCCCCUGAAGUGGGACUUCUGGUCAUGGUAGCGGCCCUAAUAUUUCCUAAAUUUGAAGCGAUGGUCACAGAUCGGUUGCGCUGAAAUAUACUGAGAAAGGGACAUUUAUCGGCAUUUAUAAAGCUUAAAAAACAGUAUUCCCAGAUUCAGAGUCUUUUUUUAAAAAAAUCCAAUAUAACCAUUUUAGUAAUGAUACCUGAAAUGCCCGAAAUCCACGAUUAGAAUUUCACUAAUGAUACAGGGCAAACUCCCUCGGGACACGUAAUGAAUAUUAGAUUACAUGGAAUGGCAUGGCCCUCAAUAUGCCUCGAAUAAACCAUCUAGAGAAAAUAAAAUCUUUUUUGUUUUACUUUUUAUUCAACCAAAUUCUGAGAGUCAUGAUUUUAAAUUGAUGAUGGCAAAUGACUCUGUCGGAUUAUUCACUUCAGUUAAAGUGACUUCCUCUUGGCACUCCGAAACUCUACUCUUGGAAGUUGCAGAAGUUUAAGUACCCUUAUGACGGGGUCUCCCCGCAGCUUGGUCAGGAAAACCACAUUCCACUGCCCUCCGGCAGGUGUGGAGGAAGGAAUCGUGUGGGGGAAGACAUUGCUCUGCAGGGAAAUGAUCUUUAAGAUCAAGGGGACUUCAACAUUGGAACAGCUGGGUGCUGCCUUCUAAAUGGGCAUCAUACAAAGGGAAGCACCUCUAAUCGAGGCCUCCAGGCUACAUUGCUGCUUCAUGCUGUGGGAGACAAAUGGAUCCUGUCAGGAAAUGUACGGUGCAGAGGCUGAACUGAUGCUUUAUUUAAGGAUAAACUUCAUCUGGUUGGCUGGGUCCAACCCAAGACCUGAUGACAAAGGCUUGCUCUCGGGAACCGGGGUGGGGAAGCAAGGAGGUUCGUGAGGAGAGAGCCAUGGAGAUGGACAUAGUGAGAGAGAAAGCGCAAGAGACCGAAUCAGUAAGAGAACCAGGGGGAGACAAAAGAAAGAUUUUAGUUGCAGUCUGAAUAUUCUUGGUGGGCCCCUCAUCUGACAAUCAGCUAAAGCACCUCCCACGGAACCACACUGGCUCCCUUCUCUACCUACAAGGAGAGUCCACUGUUUCCUCCCUUCUUCCCCUUAAGGAAAGAGAAUAGCACUUUCAGAAUGAGCCCUCCACAAAACCUCAGGAAGGUUGGAGGCUGCUGUGGCAGUUGCUUGGGCUAUGGGUGUGCCCUGAACUCCGAUCCUUGAGCGGUCUGAAAUGCUUCUCUUCUAGCCAUAGCACCCUGAUGAUUUUUGUUUCAAUUUUGUGCAUUUGACCUUGUCUUUUCCAUGUUUUAGGGUUUUAUUGUUCAAUCGCUCCAAUGUGUCUGUUGUCAGCCCUCUCUCCCAUAUAAGAUUCAGAUUGUGAACUCCUUGGUUCUACCCUCUUUGGACACCUGGACAGAGAUCACUGGACCCAAGUCGUUACGCUAAGGUUGAUGAUUUGUUUUGUGAAACCCCAACUAGGAUCAUUCCUCGGGUUCCCUCCUAGCUACCCUGCCAAGCAGCCUGCGGUGUUGACGUGAGGUGCAUAUGGAAGACUAAGCAAUCAUCCAAGCUUGGAUCUAUUUUUUUUUGAAAACGCUAUUAUAGCUCAUCCAAAUAUUUAACGCGGAUUGUGACAUCUCUCCCGAUCUGGGCCGUUUCAGUCAGGGGAAUACCGUGAAGUGCCAAUCAGUGUCUUUGGCAAACCAGUCUGUCACAGUAGCUGUCAGCUGGUUAACAGAUCAGAACAUCAAGUCAUUUGCUUAAAUGGUUUUUGUUCUUUGUACAUUCCACCAACGGCCCGAAACUUCUGUGCAUUCAGGCGAAAGAAUAAAAAUGUGAUGAAUUCCAAA